UGGGGAAUAUUGGACAAUGGGGGAAACCCUGAUCCAGCAAUGCCGCGUGAGUGAUGAAGGCCUUCGGGUUGUAAAGCUCUUUUGUCAGGGACGAUGAUGACGGUACCUGACGAAUAAGCUCCGGCUAACUUCGUGCCAGCAGCCGCGGUAAUACGAGGGGAGCUAGCGUUGUUCGGAAUUACUGGGCGUAAAGGGCGUGUAGGCGGUACCAUAAGUCAGAUGUGAAAGCCCUAGGCUUAACCUAGGAGGU
rnacentral:rRNA from 1 species